rnacentral:misc_RNA from 1 species
GAAAUGCGAUAAGUAAUGUGAAUUGCAGAAUUCAGUGAAUCAUCGAAUCUUUGAACGCACCUUGCGCUCCUUGGUCUUCCUUGGAGCAUGCCUGUUUGAGUAUCAUGAAAUCUUCAAAGUAAAUCUUUUGUUAACUCAAUUGGUUUCUACUUUGGUAUUGGAGGUCUUUGCAGCUUCACACCUGCUCCUCUUUGUUCAUUAGCUGGAUCUCAGUGUUAUGCUUGGUUCCACUCGGCGUGAUAAGUUAUCUAUCGCUGAGGACACUGUAAAAGGUGGCCAAGGUAAAUGCAGAUGAACCGCUUCUAAUAGUCCAUUGACUUGGACAAUACUUUUAUGAUCUGAUCUCAAAUCAGGUAGAACUACCCGCUGAACUUAAGC